AUUGAACGCUGGCGGCAUGCUUUACACAUGCAAGUCGAACGGCAGCGCGGGCUUCGGCCUGGCGGCGAGUGGCGAACGGGUGAGUAAUGCAUCGGAACGUGCCCAGUAGUGGGGGAUAGCCCGGCGAAAGCCGGAUUAAUACCGCAUACGACCUGAGGGUGAAAGCGGGGGACCGAAAGGCCUCGCGCUAUUGGAGCGGCCGAUGUCGGAUUAGCUAGUUGGUGGGGUAAAGGCUUACCGAGGCGACGAUCCGUAGCUGGUCUGAGAAGACGACCAGCCACACUGGGACUGAGACACGGCCCAGACUCCUACGGGAGGCAGCAGUGGGGAAUUUUGGACAAUGGGGGCAACCCUGAUCCAGCCAUGCCGCGUGCGGGAAGAAGGCCUUCGGGUUGUAAACCGCUUUUGUUCGGGAAGAAAUCCUCUGGGCUAAUACCCCGGGGGGAUGACGGUACCGGAAGAAUAAGCACCGGCUAACUACGUG
rnacentral:rRNA from 1 species